rnacentral:rRNA from 1 species
AGAUAAUAGAUACCCGGGUAGUCCUGGCCUUAAACGAUGGAUGCUUGGUGUCUGGAGUUUUAUAGUCUCCGGGUGCCGUAGCUAAACGCGUUAAGCAUCCCGCCUGGGGAGUACGGUCGCAAGACUGAAACUCAAAGGAAUUGACGGGGACCCGCACAAGCGGUGGAGCAUGUGGUUCAAUUCGACGCAACGCGAAGAACCUUACCUGGGCUAGAAUGCCUCUGACAACCCUAGAGAUAGGGCUUCCUAGGGAAACCUAGGCAGAGUGCAAGGUGCUGCAUGGCUGUCGUCAGCUCGUGCCGUGAGAUGUUGGGUUAAGUCCCGCAACGAGCGCAACCCUUAUCGAUAGUUGCUAGCGGUUCGGCCGAGCACUCUAUUGAGACUGCCGUUGACAAAACCGGAGGAAGGUGGGGAUGACGUCAAGUCCUCAUGGCCUUUAUGUCCAGGGCUACACACGUGCUACAAUGGCAAGUACAAAGCGCUGCAAACCUCGCGAGAGGGGAGCCAAUCGCAAAAACGCUUGUCUCA